rnacentral:rRNA from 1 species
AGUGAACGCUGGCGGUAGGCCUAACACAUGCAAGUCGAACGGCAGCACAGUAAGAGCUUGCUCUUACGGGUGGCGAGUGGCGGACGGGUGAGGAGUACAUCGGAAUCUACUUUUUCGUGGGGGAUAACGUAGGGAAACUUACGCUAAUACCGCAUACGACCUACGGGUGAAAGCAGGGGAUCUUCGGACCUUGCGCGAUUGAAUGAGCCGAUGUCGGAUUAGCUAGUUGGCGGGGUAAAGGCCCACCAAGGCGACGAUCCGUAGCUGGUCUGAGAGGAUGGUCGGCCACACUGGAACUGGGCCACGGUCCAGACUCCUACGGGAGGCAGCAGUGGGGAAUAUUGGACAAUGGGCGCAAGCCUGAUCCAGCCAUACCGCGUGGGUGAAGAAGGCCUUCGGGUUGUAAAGCCCUUUUGUUGGGAAAGAAAAGCAGCAGGUUAAUACCCCGCUGUUCUGACGGUACCCAAAGAAUAAGCACCGGCUAACUUCGUG